GUAGGUGGCAAGCGUUGUCCGGAAUUAUUGGGCGUAAAGCGCGCGCAGGUGGCUCUUUAAGUCUGAUGUGAAAGCCCCCGGCUCAACCGGGGAGGGUCAUUGGAAACUGGGGAACUUGAGUGCAGGAGAGGAAGGUGGAAUUCCACGUGUAGCGGUGAAAUGCGUAGAUAUGUGGAGGAACACCAGUGGCGAAGGCGACUUUCUGGCCUGUAACUGACACUGAGGCGCGAAAGCGUGGGGAGCAAACAGGGAUUAGAUACCCUGGUAGUCCACGCCGUAAACGAUGAGUGCUAAGUGUUGGGGGGGUUUCCGCCCCCUCAGUGCUGCAGCUAACGCAUUAAGCACUCCGCCUGGGAGUACGGUCGCAAGACUG
rnacentral:rRNA from 1 species